rnacentral:misc_RNA from 1 species
GAUGAAGAACGUAGCGAAAUGCGAUAAUUAAUGUGAAUUGCAGAAUUCAGUGAAUCAUCGAGUCUUUGAACGCACAUUGCGCCCCCUGGUAUUCCGGGGGGCAUGCCUGUCCGAGCGUCAUUGCUGCCCUCAAGCCCGGCUUGUGUGUUGGGCCUCGUCCCCCCUCCGCGGGGGACGGGCCCGAAAGGCAGCGGCGGCACCGUGUCCGGUCCUCGAGCGUAUGGGGCUUUGUCACCCGCUCUGUAGGCCCGGCCGGCGCCUUAGCCGACGACACAAUCUUUUUUUUCAGGUUGACCUCGAAUCAGGUAGGAAUACCCGCUGAACUUAAGCAUAUCAAUAAGCGGAGGA